rnacentral:rRNA from 1 species
UAGCAUCAGGGUUCCACCUCUUCCCAUUCCGAACAGAGAAGUUAAGCCUGAUCACGCCGAUGGUACUGCGUAACAGUGGGAGAGUAGGUAGUCGCCGUUU